ACAUUUUUGGCACGUCUGGGCACCCUUCUUUACGAUUUCCUGUUUUGACAGCUGGGUUGUCAUGAAAGUGUCAAAGCGUAAAACAUCAAUCCAUCAGAUGUUUAUAACUCCAUCAAACGCAAUUCAGUGGAAUUGCGACGGAAAUGAUUAUUUAGAACCUUGUACAUAUACGGAAAAACACCAUCAAUCAACGCGCCCGCCCAGCAGUAUAAACAAACCCUCUACAAAAUCCGAUGCUGGCCGCCAACUCCAGUAACCUGAAACAAAUCUAUCGUUUCAUAGAAAAACGCAGAAUUUGCCAUUUUACCCAAUGCAAUAUUAUCCUGUCUCGCAUCGGCAUUAUCUUCAGCAAAAGUAUUUCUCAACAGCAUAGCCCACAAAUUGCCGUAUCACUCUCGAGUUUCAAUCCGUUGGCGUCCUCUGGGACGAGCAGUAAUGGAAAUGCUAGUACCACUGUGGCGACACCUCCAGCAUACUUUUCAUCGGUAGUGCCAGCGGAUGGUUCAUGUGCGCUAUAUUUCAAUUCUGCAAACUGCAAAACUGGAAGGUAAAUGUUCACUAGGAUCACCUGAUGCGCCUCGACCGGAUCACGUCAGAACGCAGAACAUAUUUAAGAAACGUAGGAGCGUUUUUUGGCUUAAGAAGUUUCUACAGUUGUGUCCUAUCAUGAAGAUUUGAUAGACACCGCCAUUGAUUCUAGGACAGGUAAUAAUUGCACGUCGCCUAGUAUGCAGUCUACAAAGGGGCCGUGAAUCGUCUCCCAGAUCGUUCAACUUUGCUCGUUGCGCAUUGCAUUUUUUCAUGGCCGUCAGAUCGCCAUCAAGAACCAUCUUCGCUGGCUUAAAACAUGGAAGAAAAAGCCCGUAAUAAUCUAUUCUGCCACAGCCACUUUAUAAAGCUCUAAAACGACUGUAGAAAAAUUUGGAUGGGAUGCCACACAGUCACGACUUUCUCCACUGAGUAAUACGGUUAAAAGGAUGCAACCACUUUUAAUAAGGAUUGGAUUAUCGAUGUCCCGAAAAUCCAAGAGUGUACAAAGGACGCAACGUCGUUGCAUCGCUGUCUUUUAAGCUCUUUAUGGCAAUUCUUCAGUACUGCAGUCUAAGGAAAUAGUUAUCCUCGAUAGCAAUCAGAUCCAUCAGCGCUAAAAGGAUUGCUCAUUUUAGUUUCGGCAUGAUUAUCUGGGAUCUAGCACCCACUCUGAUCUCAGCGCUGGAAGCUUCGCGGUUCAGCGGCAGUACCUUUGUACGACUGGGAGAUAACGACGAAGGAGUAUGGUACAAACAAGAACGCCGAUGAGCAUAUAACCAUUUUUGAUGGAAACGUUAAGAUGUUUUAAAUGGAGAAAAAAGAAAACAUAAUUUAAUUUAAUAAAAAUCCAUUCCACUAAAAAGCUCCUUAUAAUUUUCUUUUUAAAAUAAGUUCGAUUAAAUGUAUAUUUUAUUAGGUUACAUAUCAAAUGCAAAUGAAACAUAAAGCGGCCGUACACAUAUUACGUAAGCACUUAUGGAUGGAGGGAGUCGGUUUCUUACGCAUUGUAUUAAUAAAAAACCUUUGGAUGAAAGAAAUCUUACAUAAGGGGAGGGGGUGUAGAAAACCCAGAAAACAUGCUUACGUAAUAAGUGUACGAUCUGGCGUUCAGUUCUUCAAAUUGGGGUGUAAGAGGUCAAUGAAUUGGGUUGUUUAGGGGUAUAUAUGUUUUUACAUAUUCUGAAUCUGCAUUAAAAACUGAGCCUAACCCCAAUUUUUCAGAAUUUUUGGAGCCCCGGAACUAUUUUUAAUUUUCAUUUUAAAUUUGUAUGGGACUAAAAAUUUGUUCUUAUGCUGCAUGGGUCAACUGUCAUUGUAUGAAUGUUAGUGUCAUUCUAUCGAUUGAAAUGGCUUAUUGUUUGCUGUAUAAAAAUGUAAAUAAAAGGUUUACAAACAAAAUAAAAAUAUGUUGGAGAUCAGCAAAUCAUGCUCUUUAUGUUAAACUAUAAAAAACCUCAUAUUUUUCUUGGCUAAACAACCCAAUUCCAAUGCUUGCCUGAGUCGGUGGCGGAAAGGUACGAAUUACGCGUUUAUUUCACAUGAUGUGCGGAGAUACAGGGCGUCGGCAGACCCUUCUUAUAUCUGCGCUUACAUUUGUGGGUGAAGCGAUUCGAUCGAGAGCACAUAACACGUCCAAAACAGUGCUUCAUGUCGGCCUGGGGCUGGUUCGAGUUGUAAUACCGUUCAGAUGAUGUUACCGUUCAUGAUAAUCUAGUUCUUGGCGGCAUCUUUGAUCUGGAGCUGCGUACCGAUGAACGGUACGUAGCUCGGGGUCGUGUAGUUCCCCUGGUAAUCGGCAAUGAUUUUAACCUGUCGUGUUGGAACACACCGACGGAACAUGAAAUCACUGUAAAUGUAUAUUUUUCUCCGGAAUAAACAUCUUUUUCUUCACUUCCUCCUUUUUUGUUGGAGCUAUUUGCCC